rnacentral:lncRNA from 1 species
AGUAGACCAUGAGGAGAGGCACUUCUGUCUCUGGCCCACGAGCCCUUCAUUUCCAGCAGCCAAGCACUGACCGGACACCAGGCAGAGUUAGAAAGGACCAUCUCUUCCGGGGCCCCUUGGAACUUCCAGCUAAGGAGACAACAGGAUAUGAAGACAAGUACACUCACACUCACUCUUUGCUGGGAAGGAACACAAGGAGAAUCCUAUGGAUAUCUCUGACUCAGGGGUGGAGGUCAGGAGACACAAGUGAGUCAUGAGGCAGAAGAGUGUCCUAGAAAGAGGACGGAUCCCGAGCUGUGAAGGAACACGUCAUACCAAAGAAAGGCAAAGGAAGUCAGAGCUGGAGGCCAUGGUCAGAGUGGAGGACUCCAGGGAGACUGGCCGAAGCCUUGGCCAUGUCAAACCUUGCCCCCUCUGGAUGCCGGAUGGAGGGCAGCUGUGGACAGUUACGUCAGAAGGUCCGGGAUGGAGUCAGGAUGUGCAACUGUGGUGUCUUGAACCUCUGCUCUCAACAACUCAAACAGCUCACCUGCUCUGCAAGGAAGUUCUCCAUGCCUCCUCCCAGAACCCACUCCUGAUGUC